rnacentral:lncRNA from 1 species
CACAAUAGGGAGAGGAAAUAAACCAUAAACAACCUACUGGGCCAACUGCCCAACAACAGUAGCCAUGGGCCUGUCAACAGCCAGCCCCUAGGCCACUCGGCAGGAGACAGAUGUGUAAGAAGAUUGGCCCUGAGCUUACAUCUGUUCCCAUCUUCCUCUACUUUAUAUGUGGGAUGCCUGCCACAGCAUGGUUUGAUAAGCAGUGUGUAGUUCCACAACCAAGAUCCAGGAUGGUGAACCUUGGGCCGCCAAUGCAAAGCACACAAACUUAACAGCUACGCGCCACCAGGCCAGCCCCUUUUUACUGAACCAGGCGACCCAGUGUUUCGUUGGUUCGAAUCCUGGGCACGGACAUGGCACUUCUCAUCAAACCACGCUGAGGCAGCGUCCCACAUGCCACAACUAGAAGGACCCACAACGAAGAAU